UACGGGGGGAGCAAGCGUUGUUCGGAUUUACUGGGCGUAAAGGGCGCGUAGGCGGUCAGCACAAGUCAGUUGUGAAAUCUCCGGGCUUAACCCGGAAAGGUCAACUGAUACUGUGCGACUAGAGUGCGGAAGGGGCAACUGGAAUUCUCGGUGUAGCGGUGAAAUGCGUAGAUAUCGAGAGGAACACCUGCGGCGAAGGCGGGUUGCUGGGCUGACACUGACGCUGAUGCGCGAAAGCCAGGGAGCGAACGGG
rnacentral:rRNA from 1 species